rnacentral:rRNA from 1 species
AACUAACGCUGGCGGCGUGCCUAACACAUGCAAGUCGUACGAGAAAGUCGGCUUCGGCUGAUGAGUAAAGUGGCGCACGGGUGAGUAACGCGUGGAUAAUCUGCCCUUUAGUUGGGAAUAACGUACCGAAAGGUGCGCUAAUACCGAAUAAUGCUGAGUGACAUCAGUUAUUUAGCCAAAGAAGGCCUCUGCUUGCAAGCUUUCGCUGAAGGAUGAGUCCGCGUACCAUUAGCUAGUUGGUAGGGUAAUGGCCUACCAAGGCGACGAUGGUUAGCUGGUCUGAGAGGAUGAUCAGCCACACUGGAACUGAGACACGGUCCAGACUCCUACGGGAGGCAGCAGUGAGGAAUAUUGCGCAAUGGGGGCAACCCUGACGCAGCAACGCCGCGUGAGUGAGGAAGGUUUUCGGACUGUAAAGCUCUGUCGAGCGGGAAGAAUGCCUGAUGGCUAAUAUCCAUCAUGCUUGACGGUACCG